rnacentral:rRNA from 1 species
UACGUAGGGGGCAAGCGUUGUUCGGAAUUACUGGGCGUAAAGGGCGCGUAGGCGGUUUGAUAAGUCAGCUGUGAAAACCAUGGGCUUAACUCAUGGCCUGCAGUUGAGACUGUCGGGCUGGAGUGUGGGAGAGGAGAGUGGAAUUCCUGGUGUAGCGGUGAAAUGCGUAGAUAUCAGGAGGAACACCGGUGGCGAAGGCGGCUCUCUGGACCACAACUGACGCUGAGGCGCGAAAGCGAGGGGAGCAAACAGG